AGUCGAGCGCGACCUUCGGGUUGAGCGGCGGACGGGUUAGUAACGCGUGGGAAUAUGCCCGGUACUAAGGAAUAGCCUCUGGAAACGGAGAGUAAUACCUUAUACGCCCUUCGGGGGAAAGAUUUAUCGGUAUCGGAUUAGCCCGCGUUAGAUUAGGUAGUUGGUGGGGUAAUGGCCUACCAAGCCUACGAUCUAUAGCUGGUUUUAGAGGAUGAUCAGCAACACUGGGACUGAGACACGGCCCAGACUCCUACGGGAGGCAGCAGUGGGGAAUCUUAGACAAUGGGCGCAAGCCUGAUCUAGCCAUGCCGCGUGUGUGAUGAAGGCCUUAGGGUCGUAAAGCACUUUCGCCAGGGAUGAUAAUGACAGUACCUGGUAAAGAAACCCCGGCUAACUCCGUGCCAGCAGCCGCGGUAAUACGGAGGGGGUUAGCGUUGUUCGGAAUUACUGGGCGUAAAGCGCGCGUA
rnacentral:rRNA from 1 species